AUGCAGUCUUUCCCACUGUGGGACCCAACCAUCCACACUGAAACCAGAGAGCCUACUUCCAUGGCAGGAUUCUCUACCUUCUCUGGCUUCCUACUAGAAACAGCCAUUAUACCAUCUUGCAAGGAGAAGCUGACACUUGAGAACAUCUUUCUGAGGCAAAAUCCUCUCUGGGGCAGUCAGCCGUGUUGGGGCUGUGAGUACCAUUGGUGUCAUGGGGACCCAGACAUCUUCUCUUCUGAUCAAGUAAAUCUAGAAGAUUCCCUCCAUUCUCCACGUUUCUCUGGGUGAUGCAGAUGAAUCUCUGGAAGAGAUAACCUUAAGAGAUACAUAGCACAAAACUUUAGACAUUAAUUCACAUGGUACUUUUCUAAUUGAAAAUACGUAGUUGUGGUGAUGUCACCACAAUCAGACUAUGACCCAACUAUAGAGACACAGAAUAGGACACACGCAAAACUAUCACUGUAGCAAAGCAGAAGAGGGAUCUGACUUUCGCUGCACUGGACUGUGCAUCUACAGAGCACAUAACUAUGCAUUGUGCUUCUCCUGUGAUCGAGCUACAGGAUCAAGAGAAUGAAACAUGAUAUUUGACUCUCGAAAUCAGCAGUGAAAAGCAAUGCUUCUGAUAAGUGAGUGCAAAGACUCUGUGGGGUUGCAUAUUUGAAAGGAGGACAAGUCUCCAGAGGAUACACUCCCACAAGGCUUUACUAGACAGAAAGGGUAUGGAAGAGCAGGAGAAAGAAAUCCACAGGCAAUCACGAAUCAUAAUGAAGUCCACACAUCUCCAGGCCCAGUCCAUCAAUGUCCUUCCUCAGUCACAGAAGAUGAACCUCAUCUGUGGAUACAAAGCACCUAGAUACAUACGAGGUAUCUUGGUGUCCGGGGAGUCCAAGCUCCAGUUUACCAGAGGACGUUGAAAGCCCCGCAUCAUACCAGCAAGGUAGGUUGGAUAAUCGGGUCAGCCAGAUGCAACUAUCAACCUGAGCCUGCUUUGCAAACCCUACGAACACAUAUAACCAAGCCCCCAGCACUACUAAUUUUGAAUGUUUACUUCUGUUGUCUUGAUUUGAAAUAUAUCUGUGUUUCUGGAUUCCUGACUUUUAUCCUCAUCCGACUUUUAUUCUCAAAAUCCUUUAUUCCCCUGACCCUUUUCUCCUCUUGGCUCUUGGCCUAGUGUAAUGAUUUGGAAGAGAAAAUAAGAAGAUUACAGACAUAAAACUGCAUCUUUUCUGUCUGCAAGUUGUUUUUUUUUUUUUUUUUUUUUAAUCAACACGUUUGUGAUACAUUGUUU
rnacentral:lncRNA from 12 species